UACGGAGGGGGCAAGCGUUGUUCGGAAUUACUGGGCGUAAAGCGCGCGUAGGCGGUUUUUCAAGUUAGGCGUGAAAGCCCUGGGCUCAACCCGGGAAUUGCGCUUAAUACUGGAUGACUUGAGGCCGGGAGAGGGUAGUGGAAUUCCCAGUGUAGAGGUGAAAUUCGUAGAUAUUGGGAAGAACACCAGUGGCGAAGGCGGCUACCUGGACCGGUACUGACGCUGAUGCGCGAAAGCGUGGGGAGCAAACAGG
rnacentral:rRNA from 1 species